rfam:Catenaria anguillulae PL171 BCR44scaffold_3, whole genome shotgun sequence.
GGUCCCGUGGCCCAGCGGCUAAGGCGCCUGACUACGGAUCAGGAGAUCCCAGGUUCAAAUCCUGGCGGGAUCG